AGAGUUUGAUCAUGGCUCAGGAUGAACGCUAGCGACAGGCCUAACACAUGCAAGUCGAGGGGUAGCAUGAAAGUAGCAAUACUUUUGAUGACGACCGGCGCACGGGUGAGUAACGCGUAUGCAACCUACCUACUACAGGGGAAUAGCCCGAAGAAAUUCGGAUUAAUGCCGCAUAAUACAGGGGCACCGCAUGGUGAUAUUUGUUAAAGAUUAAUUGGUAGUAGAUGGGCAUGCGUUCCAUUAGCCAGUUGGUGAGGUAACGGCUCACCAAAGCAACGAUGGAUAGGGGAACUGAGAGGUUUAUCCCCCACACUGGUACUGAGACACGGACCAGACUCCUACGGGAGGCGGCAGUGAGGAAUAUUGGUCAAUGGGCGAGAGCCUGAACCAGCCAAGUCGCGUGAAGGAUGACUGCCUUAUGGGUUGUAAACUUCUUUUAUACAGGAAUAAAAAGAGUUACGUGUAACUUAUUGCAUGUACUGUAUGAAUAAGCAUCGGCUAACUCCGUGCCAGCAGCCGCGGUAAUAC
rnacentral:rRNA from 1 species